CACCUAUAAGCGCCAGGGAACUACGAGCCAUGCUUAAAACCCAAAGGAUUUGACGGUGUUCCACCCAGCUAGAGGAGCCUGUUCUAUAAUCGAUGAUCCCCGAUACACCCGACCACCCCUAGCUUAUCAGUCUGUAUACCUCCGUCGAAAGCUUACCAUGUGAACGUCUACAGUAGGCCCAAGGACCCGCAUUAGCGCGUCAACACGUCAGGUCAAGGUGCAACUUAAGGAGUGGAAAGUGAUUGGCUACAAUUUCUAACCUAGAACAAACGAAAGACUGCGUGAAAUCACAGUCACGAAGGCGGAUUUAGUAGUAAAAAGAAAAUAGAGAGUUCUUUUUAACCCGGCCCUGGAACGCGUACACACCGCCCGUCACCCUCUGCAGUCAA
rnacentral:rRNA from 1 species